rnacentral:lncRNA from 1 species
GAGAAGUAUAAUGCAAGAGGGACAGAGAGAGAAAGGGGGCUGCCCCGGAAUUUAACGGGCAGCCGAAAACGAGUGAAGGGUUUGGCGCCAAAAAUUAAGAGUUUUAGUGAGCAACGGCUCUAUUUCCCGCUCAAUCAAUAGAUUUACGAAUUUACCCCUGGUUCGGCUGAGAAUUCCCGCGGCAAGUCAGGGCCCAAUC